ensembl:lncRNA
AGCAGUCUGGCCUAACCCUGCAGCUGUUUUCUAUGGAUUCACCUCCACCCAGCAGUCUGGCCUAACCCUACAGCUGUUUAAUAUGGAUUCACCUCCACCCAGCAGUCUGGCUGAACCCUACCGCUGAUUAAUAUGGAUUCACCUCCACCCAGCAGUCUGGCCUGACCCUACCACUGUUUAAUAUGGAUUCACCUCCACUCGUGUUUUUAUUUGAAGGACAGGUAUAUGAAAGGGGUGGGACUCUAUGCUAGCCUAGCGGGCUGAAGACUGAACCUAGUGGGCUGUAGCCUAGCAGGAUGACUAGCUGACUGCUGAAUGACACUCAUUGUGUCAGUGUUUGGUUUCACAGUAAAACAGAUUGACUGACUGACAGUAUAAUCUCUGCUGGCUGAGUGUGACCCCGUCUGUCCUCCAUCUUUGUUUUGUCUCGUUAUCCAUGGGUGUGUUGUGUUGUUUGUGUGCUUCAUAUACAUACUGCAGUGGUCCUCUCCAUGUGUGCAUACUGCAGUAGUCCUCUCCAUGUGUAUAUACGGCUGUAGUCCUGUCCAUGUGUGCAUACUGCUGUAGUCCUCUCCAUGUGUAUAUACUGCUGUAGUCCUGUCCAUGUGUGCAUACUGCUGUAGUCCUCUCCAUGUGUAUAUACUGCUGUAGUCCUCUCCAUGUGUAUAUACCGCUGUAGUCCUCUAAAUGUGUGCAUACUGCUGUAGUCCUCUCCAUGUGUACAUAUCGCUGUAGUCCUCUCCAUGUGUAUAUACUGCUUUAGUCCUCUCCAUGUGUACAUACCGCUGUAGUCCUCUAAAUGUGUGCAUACUGCUGUAGUCCUCUCCAUGUGUGCAUACUGCUGUAGUCCUCUCCAUGUGUACAUAUCGCUGUAGUCCUCUCCAUGUGUAUAUACUGCUUUAGUCCUCUCCAUGUGUACAUACCGCUGUAGUCCUCUAAAUGUGUGCAUACUGCUGUAGUCCUCUCCAUGUGUAUAUACGGCUGUAGUCCUCUCCAUGUGUAUAUACUGCUGUAGUCCUCUCCAUGUGUAUAUACUGCUGUAGUCCUCUCCAUGUGUACAUACUGCUGUAGUCCUCUCCAUGUGUACAUACUGCUGUAGUCCUCUCCAUGUGUACAUACUGCUGUAGUCCUCUCCAUGUGUACAUACUGCUGUAGUCCUCUCCAUGUGUACAUACUGCUGUAGUCCUCUCCAUGUGUACAUACUGCUGUAGUCUACUCCGUGUGCAGUCCUCUCCAUGUGUAUGUGUAUAUACUGCUGUAGUCCUCUAUAGAAAUAUAUAGACUGUAUACUAUAUGGCUUUAGUCCUCUCCAGAACCAUAUAUACAGUAAACUAUAUGGCUAUGUAUAUAUAUAUGUAGUGUGUGUAUAUAUAUAUUACACACACUACCAUUCAAAAGUUUGGAGUCACUUAGAAAUGUCCUUGUUUUUGAAAGAAAAUCACAUUUUUUGCCAUUAAAAUGAGAUCAAAUUGAUCAGAAAUACA